rnacentral:sRNA from 1 species
GACUAGCCCUGAUGGGAGCGGCAUCCUUUUGUUUUUUUCUUUAAAAAACAAAAGAUACAGCAGACAGCAGGAAACAGC